UGGGGAAUAUUGGACAAUGGGCGCAAGCCUGAUCCAGCCAUGCCGCGUGAGUGAUGAAGGCCCUAGGGUUGUAAAGCUCUUUCACCGGUGAAGAUAAUGACGGUAACCGGAGAAGAAGCCCCGGCUAACUUCGUGCCAGCAGCCGCGGUAAUACGAAGGGGCCUAGCGUUGUUCGGAUUUACUGGGCGUAAAGCGCACGUAGGCGGACUUUUAAGUCAGGGGUGAAAUCCCGGGGCUCAACCCCGGAACUGCCUUUGAUACUGGAAGUCUUGAGUAUGGUAGAGGUGAGUGGAAUUCCGAGUGUAGAGGUGAAAUUCGUAGAUAUUCGGAGGAACACCAGUGGCGAAGGCGGCUCACUGGACCAUUACUGACGCUGAGGUGCGAAAGCGUGGGGAGCAAACAGG
rnacentral:rRNA from 1 species